UGAAGCAAAUUGAUUAGUGACAUUUAAGACUCGUUUGGAUAAAAAUAUGGAUAUGCAGGGAAUGGAGGGAUAUGGAUUAUGUGCAGGUAGGUACAAGAUGAUCGCAGCAUCAUGUUUGGCAGACAUUGUGGGCUGAGGGGCCCGUCUUGUGCUCUAGUGUUUGACAUAAACUAAAGCCCAAUGAAUUACAGUCAGUAACUGGGCAGGGAUGGACUUGAAGGUAAUAGUCAACAAGAAGUUCGAAUCCAGAAACAAGGAGGUGAAUGUGCAUGAAAUGUUAAAGAACACUCGGAGAAAACCCACGCAGGUC